UACGUAGGGUGCAAGCGUUGUCCGGAAUUAUUGGGCGUAAAGAGCUCGUAGGCGGUUUGUCGCGUCUGCUGUGAAAACUCGGGGCUUAACCCCGGGCCUGCAGUGGGUACGGGCAGACUAGAGUGCGGUAGGGGAGAUCGGAAUUCCUGGUGUAGCGGUGAAAUGCGCAGAUAUCAGGAGGAACACCGGUGGCGAAGGCGGAUCUCUGGGCCAUUACUGACGCUGAGGAGCGAAAGCGUGGGGAGCGAACAGG
rnacentral:rRNA from 1 species